GAGCGCGUAGGCGGUCCGAUAAGUCGGCUGUGAAGGUCAGGGGCUCAACCCUUGAAAGCCGGCCGAUACUGUCGGACUAGAGUCCGGAAGAGGCGAGUGGAAUUCCCGGUGUAGCGGUGAAAUGCGCAGAUAUCGGGAGGAACACCAAUGGCGAAGGCAGCUCGCUGGGACGGUACUGACGCUGAGGCGCGAAAGCGUGGGGAGCAAACAGGAUUAGAUACCCUGGUAGUCCACGCCGUAAACGAUGGGCACUAGGUGUGGGAGGUGUCGACUCCUCCCGUGCCGCAGCUAACGCAUUAAGUGCCCCGCCUGGGGAGUACGGCCGCAAGGCUAAAACUCAAAGGAAUUGA
rnacentral:rRNA from 1 species